ACUGUGACUUGCUUGUAACCAACAGAAUAUGGCUAAUGUGAUGAAAUGUCACUACUGAUGGAAUGUAAUUACAUUGCGUUGUAUGGCAAAGGCGAUUUGAUAUCACUCCCAUGAUUCAUGUUAUGAUAUAUAAAACUCCAUCUUAGUUGACUAGAGAGACUUUCCUAGCUUUGAAAAAACAACCAGCCAUAUGAACUACCUAUGAAAAGGGCCAUGUGGGAGAAACUGUGGGUCAUCUCAAGGACCUGAAGGGGGAUCUCCAGCUGAAAGCCAGUAAGAAGCUGGGGCCUCAGUCAUACAGCUGCAAGGAAAUGAAUUUUUCCAACAACCUGGAUGAGCUUGGAAACAGAUUCUACCCCAGUCAACUACUCAGGUUUCUACAGCAAUGUUAUCUUGAAUGGUUUGUCAACAUGUUUCACUGAGCAAACUUAAAGCAACUCUGGUAAUUACAAGUGGAACCCUGUUACAAGUGGAACCCUGACAACUUCAGAAGUGCCCAUCACAACCAAACAUUCCUGCUCUGAAUCACCUGACAUUCACUGUCUCAUUCAUGCCAGCUUCUUCAGGUGGCCCUUGAUGAUCUGCCUGCCUCCACAGAGCCUCAGAAAAUUAGCCUUUUCUUUUUUUCUAGAUUUCACUCUUCAUGAUGGAUGUGAAAGACGGUCCUAGAAAAGUCCUCUGCACAGAGCAGGGCAUAGCCUGCAUUCCAAAUUUUGUUAUUCUCAAAGGUCAAUUGUUCUCAGUGGCAGACAACAGAAGCCAAGACUUGCUAAGUGAAACAGAAGACAAAUUUGCUGGAAGGACAUGUGAAAAUGGGCACAAAUUAGGGAGCAAGGUCAUACUUGCACCACUGCUGUUAGGCUGCUACCACUGACUCCUCUGCUCCUGCACUCUCAACAGCACCAUCAGGAAAAACCCUACACACAGUUCCUUCAUCUCCGCCUUACUUGCUGAAGAUUAGAAGUCCCAGGUAGGAGUCUUUGAAUGACUAAGGCCACAUCACCGGCCCAUAUCCUGGCUACAAGGAAGCAAGGAAAGAAAAUUUUAGCCAGCCUUUUUGGCUUCUGGAAUGCGAGCAUUUUACCAAGUCACCUAAUGGUGUAGAACUCCCCAGUAGGAAAGGUUUUAGGGGCCGGGCAGCUAGAAUAAAGACAAACGGCUACUCCUCCCGUUAUCUGCUUACCUGGGCCACCUGUUCAUAGAGAACUCUGACGUCACAACAUAGUCCACCACCACUAUGAGUUUCAAAUUGGUUGCUUGUUGCAUAGUUAGGGGGAUUUUAAACUAAGCCCUCCAACCUCUCUCCCUUUGUUCCCUACAGUGGAUACACCAGUGCCCCCUCCCUAUUGCCUCGCUUCUGUGCGUGCCAGCCUGCCUUCCAACAGUCAGCAUUUACAACUUUGUUAGAGGGCUGCCCUCAGACUGCUGGAACCUACUUUGUCUCCAUGCAGGGCAGACCCAAAGUGCCUGGGUAACUCAUAACCCAUCAGGGGUAUCCUUUAACCAAAACUUACUAAGUACAAUGUAUAACUACUCCAGCUCCCUUGCCCCUUGACUGGAAUCAUAAUUAAGUGUGUGUUUUGCACAAUUUUUAAAAACUUCUCCAAAGGAUUAAACUUCAGGUGGACACUAUGGUAGUUGCCUUAAUAGUGUACCCAUUAUAGAUUAGCUUCCUUUUAUUAUUUCUUUCUCUCUCUUCUGCCCUUCUCUCUCAACAUUCCAAAUAGACUAUGUGCACUCAGUCUUUGUCUCAGCUUUGCUUCUGAGAGGAGCCCUGCUAACACAUCUCUCUUAUAUCUGAGUAUUGGCAUGCUAUUUUGCAGACAUAUUAGGAAUACUGAGACAACUAUUACCACAAAACUCUAUAAUUCACAAGAACAUUUGCAGAUACAAAUUAGGUAAACAUGAGAUCAAGAA